rnacentral:tRNA from 1 species
GGGGAUUUAGCUCAGCGGUAGAGCACUUGCCUAGGAAGCGCAAGGCCCUGGGUUCGGUUCCCAGCUCCG